rnacentral:rRNA from 1 species
UACGUAGGGUGCGAGCGUUAAUCGGAAUUACUGGGCGUAAAGCGUGCGCAGGCGGUUCGUUGUGUCGGUGGUGAAAUCCCCGGGCUUAACCUGGGAAUGGCCAUGGAAACUGGCGAACUGGAGUGCGGCAGAGGGGGGUGGAAUUCCGCGUGUAGCAGUGAAAUGCGUAGAGAUGUGGAGGAACACCGAUGGCGAAGGCAGCCCCCUGGGCUGAGAUUGACGCUCAGGCACGAAAGCGUGGGGAGCAAACAGG